ensembl:misc_RNA Rn7s2 7S RNA 2
GCCGGGCGCGGUGGCGCACGCCUGUAGUCCUAGCUACUCGGGAGGCUGAGACAGGAGGAUCGCUUGAGUCCAGGAGUUCUGGGCUGUAGUGCGCUAUGCCGAUCGGGUGUCCGCACUAAGUUCGGCAUCAAUAUGGUGACCUCCCGGGAGCGGGGGACCACCAGGUUGCCUAAGGAGGGGUGAACCGGCCCAGGUCGGAAACGGAGCAGGUCAAAACUCCCGUGCUGAUCAGUAGUGGGAUCGCGCCUGUGAAUAGCCACUGCACUCCAGCCUGGGCAACAUAGCGAGACCCCGUCUCUU